UCUGAACAUGGAGCAUACUAAAUCUCCCAACAGGAGAGCCAUUUCAGGCAUAACAGCCAUUUCAAUAAAACAGUAAGGAAGCCUUCAAUGCUAAAACUAAUGCAAUGGAAGAACAGCCAGAUGAGGCACUGGUUUUUAUCAUAGCCCCACUGGAGAGAAAUCAUUUUGUAGCAUGACUUCUUUGAAGGGUUUUACUCAUCUGAGUUGUCCCAUUGCCUUGACACUUGUUCACAUAAAAUAAGGUGAAGAUUUGCUCCACUGUUACAGAAUACCUGAAAAUGGGGCUUAAUCUCUUUCCCCUUCUUAGAGAAGCCCAACAGAAGCAUACAGCCAGAGGCGGUGUCAGAGCCAAGAUGCACUUGCGAUUCAAAUAGCAAGCUAAUAUUUGAUGAAAUGGGAAAAACUAUUAUUUGGAUUUUCUAUUUCAUUUAUAUGAAGCUGAGGAUGGAAAACAAAGCUCCGUGAAAUCACUAGGAGAGCUGAUGAAACUGGAUUUUUACUCACUAUCACCACAACAGAGAUUUUGAUGUGCUACAUGCAGUCCUUGGUGUAGAGUCCAGUCCUGUUGAGGGCUUCUGUGGAUAAUUUCCUUGCUAAUAAUAUUCAGUUUAUCAUUUAUCAUUUUCUCUACAAGUUCUGCUCUAAACUGAGCUCCUCCACCUUUUCUAAAAUAGCAAUUGCUGUUACCUGGAGAAUGUUGUACAAUGGUGGGGGUUUUUGUUGGUCUGCUUUAGAAACAUAUUUUCUCAGCUCUAGUAUCUUUUCUUACAUUUUAAGGGUAUUUUUACAUCUGGAGAAAUAAAUAACCUUCAACAUUUUAAAAAUAGGUGUAAGUCUGAAACUACAUAGUCACAGAAAUUAUUCCUCUGUUUCAUUGUUUAUAGCUUGGAGGACAUAAUAACAAAAUCCUGCUGCUUGUUAUCUUUGAUUAGAAAUUACUGCUGUAUUUUCAAUUAACAUUGUUUAAAAUGUUUUACAAUCUAAUUUUCCAUGCAAACAAGAACAGUGAAACCUUUUAAAAGCUGCAUAUAUAUGAUGAAUUAAUGUUUAUUGUCGUAUAUUGAAAUAUGUUUGUUUCAGACACCCUCUUUGACCAACACUUGUAUCUGCAGAUGCUAAAAAGGUGAUGUGGAAGCCAAAUUAUUGUAGUUAUUAUAUUUAAUUACAAAGUGCCUGCUGUGGGAGUUGGUGAUAAUUUUGAUACAAGAUCAGGUAACAUAGGUUCAGUUAUUCUUGUGUGGAGACAAAUCUUCAGCUGACGUUGAGGAGUGUAACCCCCUGGAAGCCAAGAGAGUUGUGCUGUUUGACAGGUGAGGAGGUGGUUCACCAUGGGACAGUCAGCUGUGUGUGCUCCUCCCACCCAAGGUCCAUGUCUUUGUAGUGAAUUGCACUGGAAGCUGUUGGCUGGUACUGAACAAGUAAGGGUAGAAAGAGAGAUGAAUAUGAGUUGUCCAUUUUCACAAGGAACCAACUUCAUGUUCAUGGCAUACUUUGCUACAACGAUUUGAUGUACUUCUCCCAAACAUCCUAGAGAAGAUACAAUUUAUUUUUCAGGUUUUGGGGCAAUCUUCUCCACCUACCUGGUGGUCCUGAACAGCCAGGCCUGGUGCAGAUACCUUCAACACAGUUGGAUGUGAGAAGACUGAGGGGAGGCCUCAUCACAGUGUGCAGCUUCUUCACAAGCCAGCGAGGAUGAGGGGCAGAGGAAUCCCUGACGUGGGAUCUGAGCCGCUGCCGAGGCAUUUCACGCUCUGCCUGCGGAGGAAGAGGAGCGCUGCACCCCACGGGAACAGUGAGGGAGCAGCAGGUCUCUACUGCUUCUACACACUGCCUCAGAUCCACUGGAGCAUCUUCCUUACAGCAGCUCUGCGUCCAACUCAGAUGUACAAACUUCAGCAUCUCACUGUGUCACUGCCAAGAACAGGGACUAGAAAACAGACUGCAAAUCCCAAAGUAGUAGGAUUCGAUCUAAAAUGAAGUAACAUAAUUGGCAUAUCUGGCCUCUGCCGUUACUUGUCUUACUGUAGUACUUCUAACUUACUAGGUUGCAUAACUACUUUGAAGAGCAAAAGGCAGAGAUAUCUGUGUUUGUCAACAAAGUAUCUUAAACAUCAGAAACCACUUAUAAUUCAUUCUGACUUGCUUGAGAUGCAUACAGAAGGAACGCGUCCAUUAGGAAAGUUGGAAUUGAUGUUUUAAAAAUUACACAAAUGAUAUGCCAUUUUUACUGAUACUUAUUUUUAGAUGAUUUCAAAUUACUUUAGAAAUCGAUAGGUUGGUGCAGUCCUACAUCUUAUACGAAGACUAACAGACAAAGAUAAAAGGUUACUAAUGAUUGCUAUUUAUUUUGUUAAGUCCAUAAAAAGUGCAUAGUACAAGCCCUUUAUCCCAAUCCAAGUACUCAGUAAAAGAUUACUAGGAAACUGUGAAUGGCACAGAUGAUUUUUUGUUUGGCAAAAUUCAGACAUUUUAAACCACUGAUUUACAUUAGGUGUAUCACACCAUCACUCUUCCUUUUUCAA